AUACUUACCUGGCAGGGGAGAUAUCAUGAUUACAAGGGUUCUUUUCCCAGGGCAAGGCUUAUCCAUUGCACUCCGGAUGUACUGAUCUCUGUUAUUUCCCCAAAUGUGGGAAACUUGACUGCAUAAUUUGUGGUAGUAGGGGACUGUGUUCGAGCUCUCCCCUG
ensembl:snRNA U1 U1 spliceosomal RNA